rnacentral:SRP_RNA from 1 species
GUUGGGUGUGGUGGCACACACCUGUAGUCCUAGUUACUUGGGAGGCUGAGGCAGGAGGAUCACUUGAGCCCAGGAGUUUGAGGCUACAGUGAGCUAUGAUCAUGUCACUGUACUCCAGCCUGGGUGACAGAGAGAGAUCCUGUCUCUA